UAGGGAAUCUUGGACAAUGGGGGAAACCCUGAUCCAGCCAUGCCGCGUGAGUGAUGAAGGCCUUCGGGUUGUAAAACUCUUUCGGCGGGGACGAUAAUGACGGUACCCGCAGAAGAAGCUCCGGCUAACUUCGUGCCAGCAGCCGCGGUAAUACGAAGGGGGCUAGCGUUGUUCGGAAUUACUGGGCGUAAAGCGCGCGCAGGCGGCCUUUCAAGUCAGGGGUGAAAGCCCGGAGCUCAACUCCGGAAUUGCCUUUGAAACUGUCAGGCUCGAGUACGGGAGAGGUGAGUGGAAUUCCCAGUGUAGAGGUGAAAUUCGUAGAUAUUGGGAAGAACACCGGUGGCGAAGGCGGCUCACUGGCCCGUUUCUGACGCUCAGGCGCGACAGCGUGGGGAUCAAACAGGAUUAGAUACCCCCGUAGUCC
rnacentral:rRNA from 1 species